AACGAACGCUGGCGGCAUGCCUAACACAUGCAAGUCGAACGAAGUCUUCGGACUUAGUGGCGCACGGGUGCGUAACACGUAUGCAAUCUGCCCACAGCCGGGAGAUAGCCCUCCGAAAGGAGGAUUAAUAUCCCAUAGGAAGAUGAGAUGGCAUCAUUUUAUUUUUAAACUACGGGGCUGUGGAUGAGCAUGCGGUUGAUUAGCUAGUUGGCGGGGUAAAGCCCACAAGGCGAUGAUCAAUAGGGGACCUGAGAGGGUGAUCCCCCACACUGGCACUGAGAUACGGGCCAGACUCCUACGGGAGGCAGCAGUGGGGAAUAUUGGACAAUGGGGGGCAACCCUGAUCCAGCAAUGCCGCGUGAGUGAUGAAGGCCU
rnacentral:rRNA from 1 species